UUCUUAAUUGUUAUUGUGUAUGUGCUUUUGUUUAAUUAAUUUUGACUUGUUUGUUGUAAAUUUUGAAGGUUGAUGCCUUUUAUUGCAGGUGUACGGAAGGCUUAUACUGUGGAAUAGAGAAGAGAACGUGGCCUAAGUUUGUAGGUGAUGUCUAGCGCGUCUACACUUGCGGUUGUUGUUGGAGGUGGAAGGAGCCGGUAUUUUUUUGAGGUAGACUAGGGGAAUAGUGAGGGUUGGGGUCUGGUGGUGGUCCUCGGUUCUCUAGUGCACCCUAAAGUGCCUAGAGACGGGCACGGGGAGACAUAAGUGAGGUGUAUAAACCUGUGAAAGGGCACUACUUAGUCGAGGAACCGUACCCAUAGCUGACUGACGCCCGCCUCACAAGGGGUCACAGCCGA